CCAGAACUCUUCUAAUAUCUCUUAACAUACAUGUCUUCUAAAUUUAUUGCUUACAUACUUCCUCAAACCUUCGAGAAAUCUCUGUUUGUUCUCUUUGUAUGAUAUUAAAUGGAGAUCUAAAAUUUCUUAUGAGUUUAAAUAGUUAGAAAGGAUGGUAACUUGUGAUUGCGUGUCAACAUGACAGCUAAAAAUAAGCUGUUACAUCUGUCCUUUGAAGGUUCCAAAAAAUGGUGAAUAUAAAAUUUUGAUACAGUAUCAAGCAUCUGCACAUGAUAGAAUAACCUAUUCUGGACACUUUUAUAAAGAACUAGAGAAAUGGAAAAUUUAAAAAAAAAUAGUUAAUUUCCAACAUUGCACAGAAAGAAACACAGAGUUAGGGUAAGGCCUCACAAAAUAGGUCAAAAACAAGUAAUGGACAAAAGGAAAAAUACCAAGGAGAUAAAAUUUAGGAAACUAAAAGAUUUCACAACAUGCUUGGAAAAUUUUUAAGUGUUGACCAAACAAAGUAGAGAGACUUUCUUGAACACUUGAGAUGUUAAGAUUCCAGAAAGGCCAUUCCUUAAAAUGAAGGAUAAAUUGGCCUUAUAGGAUAAAUCUUCUCCACAAAAAAGAAAAACAAAUAAAAAACCCUCUUUAAAACAUGCUAAAAAUGAAAAUAUGAUAAAUAAGUAAAUAAACUGCUUGCCAGAACAAAAUGUAGCACUUUUUAGAGGAAAAUAACAAAAUCUGAAUGAACAACAAUGUAUCAUUCAAAUAUCCAGGAUCCAAUAAAAAAUAAUUAACAUGUAAAGAAGCAGAAAAAUAUAACUUAUAAUUGGUCCAUAGCAACAAACCUUGGAGUUCUUGUUGUGGCUCAGUGGUUAACGAAGCCAACUAUGAACCAUGAGUUUGCAGGUUCGACCCCUGGCCUUGCUCAGUGGGUUAAGGAUCCAGUGUUGCCGUUAGCUGUAGUGUAGGUUGCAGAUGUGGCUCGGAUCCCGCUUGGCUGUGGCUCUGGUGUAGGCUGGCGGCUUCAGCUCUGAUUAGGCCUCUAGCCUGGGAACCUCUAUUUAAAAGAAAACAUGAACAAAGUGAAAAGAGAAAUAGAAACUAUAAAAACAGAACCAAGGGAAAUUGAAGUUGUGAAAAAUGCAAUGUCUGAAAUGAAAAUUUCAGUGGAUGGGCCUUGGUAGCUGGUUAGGAAAUACAGAAGAGAGUUGCAGACUUGUUGAAAAGUCCUUAUGAAAUAUUUGAACAGGAAAGAGAGGUGAAAAAGUUGAAAUAAUAAAGAAA
rnacentral:lncRNA from 1 species